AUGGAGUUUCAAUUUAAAGAAAGAGUCAUUGGUUUAGAUUACCAUACAUAAAUGGCUAUGUCAUUCUCCAUUGGUUUAGAUGAGCAUCACCGCUCCCAGAACAAUGAAGAAGGAGAAGAAGAUGCUGAUGGUACUGGAAUAUUUCUCUUCAUGCUGAAAAUUGAAAACCAGAGAAUCGAGAAGACAUUGGAUAAAGUUUUGGAAUACUCAUUUGAGCAAGAAAAUGUGGAUGCUCCUUGCUUUGCAGGGACGAUGAGGUUUGAUGGUUAAGGUGCCUCUACCUCGGACCUUCACCAUGGCCACCAAUCAGGUGGAGGUUUUCUCAUACCUUAGAAAAUAAAAUAAAAUUUGAGGGUUUUAAAGGAAAACACUUCAUAUAUUGGAGAACUCUUCUUUGUAUAAAUUCCGUUCGUUAAAGACAAGUUGAAGUUCUUGAUCA